rnacentral:misc_RNA from 1 species
AACGCACAUUGCGCCCCUUGGUAUUCCAUGGGGCAUGCCUGUUCGAGCGUCAUUUGUACCUUCAAGCUCUGCUUGGUGUUGGGUGUUUGUCUCGCCUUGUGCGCAGACUCGCCUUAAAGCAAUUGGCAGCCGACGUAUUGUUUCGGAGCGCAGCACAAACUAGCACUCUUACUCUAUACGACAGCAUCCAUCAAGCCUUUUUUCACGCUUGACCUCGGAUCAGGUAGGGAUACCCGCUGAACUUAA